CGGAUCUCGCGAUGUUUCAGGGCGGCUUUGGAGUCAUCAAAUGUGAGAAGCCCUGGACUUUACACAUCCCGAGCCAGUGUGAUCCAGUAUGAUUGGGAGUCCGAGUGCCAGAUGCCGGUCGGGACCUGUUAUGCUGGGUCUCAGAAUGCGGAAACUCUCCCUGUCCGAGGUGGAACAGUUUGUCCUUGAGUGAGGACCGGAGUCCUGAGUGACUCUUGAUUUGAUCCUGUUUCCCUCAAACCUGAGAUGGGAGCCUCACUGUAUUGCCCAGGCUGGUCUUGAACUCCGGAGCUCAAGUGAUCGUCUUGCUUCAGCCUUCCAAAAUGAUGGUGAAGCUGCAUCAUUGUCUGGGGUAAAUACCUGAGGUUCGUUGUCUCACGCCAAGGGAAUCAAGGACGUGGACACACAAGAAGUGAGUUUAAGAGCGGAGGUUUAAUAGGCGAAAGAGAAAAGAGAAUAGCUCUAGCUCCUGCAGAGAGAAAAGGGCUCCCAAGUAGGACUUCCAGUCCGUGGCGA
rnacentral:lncRNA from 1 species